AGUGAACGCUGGCGGUAGGCCUAACACAUGCAAGUCGAACGGCAGCACAGUAAGAGCUUGCUCUUACGGGUGGCGAGUGGCGGACGGGUGAGGAAUACAUCGGAAUCUACUUUUUCGUGGGGGAUAACGUAGGGAAACUUACGCUAAUACCGCAUACGACCUACGGGUGAAAGCAGGGGAUCUUCGGACCUUGCGCGAUUGAAUGAGCCGAUGUCGGAUUAGCUAGUUGGCGGGGUAAAGGCCCACCAAGGCGACGAUGCGUAGCUGGUCUGAGGGGAUGAUCAGCCACACUGGAACUGAGACACGGUCCAGACUCCUACGGGAGGCAGCAGUGGGGAAUAUUGGACAAUGGGCGCAAGCCUGCUCCAGCCAUACCGCGUGGGUGAAGAAGGCCUUCGGGUUGUAAAGCCCUUUUGUUGGGAAAGAAAAGCAGCAGGUUAAUACCCCGCUGUUCUGACGGUACCCAAAGAAUAAGCACCGGCUAACUUCGUG
rnacentral:rRNA from 1 species